UCGUCUGCCUCGUGUGGUACUCUCUUCCCGCGCUCGGGCGUGGCUCCUGGAGCUGUUCUGUAACAGCUGAUCCACAGCCACGGUGUCGAAUAAAGUCUACCGUCCCCUAGCCUUAUGGCUAGGUGAGGGCGGUGCCACCGCAUAUUCCGUAUCUUCGUGCCGUCCUCUGGACAGUGACACUGGGGAAAAGCCAUGCGGUGGACAUUU
rnacentral:snoRNA from 1 species